rnacentral:lncRNA from 1 species
UGGUGAGCCCAGUGUAAUCACAUGAGCCCUUAGAAGCAGAAGAGGAAGGCAGAAAAGUCAGUCAGGGAGAUGUAGCUGGAAAGAUGAGGCGGAGGGAGAGGUGAGAGAGAUUUGAAGCAUGAGAAAGCCUGACUUGCUGUUGCUAGCUUUGAUGAUGGAGGAAGGGAAUCAUGAGCUAGGACUGGAGUGGCCUCUAGAAGCUGCUGAGACUGACCCCAUGGAAACAGGGACCUCCAUCCUACUGACACGGGCCAACCCCAAAAGUGGGGCUCAGCCAGGGAAGAUUCUUGGCUUCACUCAGGAAAGAAUUCAAGAGGGAGCUGACAGUGAAAGAAAACAAAUUUAUUAGAGCAAUAGUGUACAGCAAAAUGGCUGCUCCAUAGAGGGCACAGGGCUAUCUCAUAG